CUUCCUUAAACUAAAACCCACCUCAAAAUCAAAACUAUACCUUCUUCAACCAAAACUUUAACCUAUCUUAAACCAAACUUUACUCUGAAUUGUGAGGUCCAAAUAGUGCAAUCUGGGUCUAAAUCCAAACUUUACUCUGACUUGUGGGGUCCAAAUAGUGUAAUAUGGGUCUAAAUCCAAACUUUACUCUGAAUUGUGAGGUCCAAAUAGUGCAAUCUGGGUCUAAAUCCAAACUUUACUCUGAAUUGUGGGGUCCAAAUAGUG
rnacentral:lncRNA from 1 species